GAGUUUGUUGUCUGUGCUGAGAAGAAGGAGUCAGUGCUGUGAGGAGCUGUGCCUGAGAAACCACAGAGAAGUGGGAACCUUGGAGGAGCUGAACCAACGUGGGGAAGGGCAUUAAAAUCCACCAGCUUUGGCUGCAAUGAGGAGAGGUCCCACACCAGCAAUCCAACAGGCUCCCAGCUGCUGUGUGAAUUCUUUUCUCCCCCUCCCAAAGAAGUAUCCAUUUCUCUCAUUGGCAGAAGAAAGAAGAGUUACUGAAGCCCUUUCUCCUUAGAGGAAACAUUCAUUCCAGGGCAUUUUCUCCUGAAUUUUGCCUCCAAAGCUGAGACCAUUGUCCAUGAAAGCUUUUGUGAUACCCAGAGCUGGUAGAGAGCAUGCACAGGAGACCUGGCCAGCCCCAAAUCUGCCUUGGAUAUCUUCCACCACAAAGUUCACUCUGCUGAUCUGAGAUCUGGAAGCUCCCACCCCUCAGGAGCUGGUGUGAAGAGAUUCCAAGGCUGGCAGGGAGAUAGAAGAGAGAGGAGUUUCCAUGGAAAAUGUAUGUUGCUUAAAAUUGGCCUCUAAUGGCAGGGAUUACAAGAGAAAGCUCUCUAAGCUGCAGCCAAGGAUGAAAGUGAUGAUUACCACACAGUGCAUCACCAACAAGCCCCAGCAAAGCUGGGAAGAGUUCAGCUCCCUGAUGGUUCCAUUAAACUGGCAGGAAGGGCUGUGACCUGUGGGGACAAGGCUGCCCAGGCUGGGGCAGCAAAACCCCUGAUACAUGCAUCCCACAGCUCAUGCCCUUUCUAAAACCCACCCCGGGGCAGAGGAGCUCUGUCAGAGCAGGGAGAUGCUCUGGGGUGAGCCUGGAGGGGCACUUUGGGAGCUGACGGAGAGGAAACACCUGUAAGAGAUGCAGGAUGGGAAGUGAGGUUCUUCCCCUCUCCUCCCAGCUCCCAGGGAUCAGCUUAGAUCCUCUUGGGAUCCCUGCCCACACCCCUGCUGCAGAGCUGGGGCCAGGGCAGCCUGGAAGGGACACUUGGGGUCUGUCAGCAGCUGGACCUGCAGCCCCAGCCCCUUCCCCACUCAGACACGGGUCUUGGUGCCCAUGGAGUCUCUGGGAUGGGUGGAAAUAUUUGGGAGGGCAGUGGGACAGCCAGGUCCCUGUGCCCUGUGUCUCUGAGAACCCAUGGAAACUGCAACACUGGCAGGAGCUGAGAGGAGCUCUUUGGGACUGGAAGUAGAGAUCAAGAGCAAGGUGCUCCUCCUGUCAUGUGCCACAGAAGGUCAAGACCAUGUCCAGAGAUUUGUUCCUCUCCUGCACGAUGGCUCCUGGAAGGGCAGAGGGCUGAAGCCCCAGCACCAUUUCUAGAUGAGGAUUUCCUCAGGGUGGCUGAACCCCUCCUGUUUCAGUUCCCACAGGGAUGGUGUGAGGCUUCUGCUGGGCUCUGCCUCCAUCUCCUGGCAGUCCUUUCAGUGACCCUGAGCUGCCUCCAUCAGCAGAUGUGAAACACACUGCUCAGGGGAGUGGGUGGCAACAGCUUCUCCUUCUCUCAAAAUGUGUAACUCCCAAACAGAGCUGGAAAAACAGAUCCUUCCCUUCCCUUUCUCCAUCAUGUCCCAAAGAUUCCUGGGCUUCAUCCCAACAGAUCCCCAGCUGCAGCACUGUCCCUGGCAGGGUGAGGACAGAGGGAUCUUGGGGACAGCUGUGGGGCAGGGUGACUCCUGGGGAUGAGCACCACAUCCAUCACUGCGGCUGCAAUGGGUCAGGCAGAAAUCCUCCUUGUCCAUCCCCAGAAUCACCUCCCUGCCCAGGCACGUUCCCACUCUUUCCUCACUUCCCAGCCCCGAGAGGGGUGGCUGAUCCAGCACUCCACAUCCGCUUGCACAAGAGGUGAUGGCUGCUCCCCCUGCCCCCCUCCCUGGGUGACCUGGAUCCCGUGACUCAUCCCUAAUCUGGGCAUCCAUCUCUCCAGAGGGAGUGAAGCAAAGGGCUGCCCCAGCAAGGGCAGGGUGCUGACAGAGGGAGAAGAAACUCCCUGGAAAAUGUGUAAUGUUCCCUGAAAACUGUGUGAUGGAAUGCACACCUAUAUCUGCACUACCUGCAGAUAUACUAGAAAAAUUUAACAUUUAAAAAGGAGGAAAACACAAACAACCAGUUGUAGUAAUUGCCUUUUCCUAUAUGCAGAGUGCUGGGUGAGGGGUAAAUCAAGCAGUUUUCUCAGGAUGGGACCUCACCAGCACUCCAGGGAAGGGGAGCAUCCCACUUCCACAAUCAUUCCCCAUUUCCAUCCCUGCUGGGGACAGAUGAGAGAACCAGAGCAUUUCUGGGAGCUCCCCACAUGUCCUUGCACACAAACCUUGUGGUGCUGGUCACCUUUAGAGAAGAAGGGCAGCUCCCUCUGCCUUGUUUGCAUUUUUGGGAAUAGGAUAUCUCCCCAAAGGAUGAGUUUGUGAUGCUUGCUGAGCAGCCCCAAACCCACAAAGGCAAACCCCACACAUUGGUUUAUCCAAGCCAGUGCAGGGCUCACCCUCUGCUGCCUCUCCCAGCUCCAGGGAGUGCAGUGAGGGAUGCUUUAGACCCUCAUCCCACACUUCACACGGUUACAUCUUCCCCCUCUUGAUUAAUUCCAUCCUGCCAUUACCAGCCACUCCCUCAGUUAUCCCCUCCCACACUGGAGUGAGAGGUGGUUCCACCUUUCCAACAGGUCCAAAGCCCCACGGGUGUCCCUGUGAUCACCCCAAGGAUUUGCUGGGAGGUCCCUGUCUCCCUCUGCUUUGCAGAGGCUGUCAGAGCUGGAGCUGGUGCCACCAGACAGCUCCUCAGCACAUCUCUGCACACACAUUCCCAGCCACAGCACCUUUCCCACCCUUUCAUUUUUGUA